CCCUUAGAUGUUCUGGGCCGCACGCGCGCUACACUGAUGCAUUCAACGAGUCUAAAACCUGGUCUGAUAGGGCUGGGUAAUCUUUUGAAUGUGCAUCGUGAUUGGGAUAGAUGAUUGCAAUUCUUCAUCUUCAACGAGGAAUGCCUAGUAAACGCAAGUCAUCAGCUUGCAUUGAUUACGUCCCUGCCCUUUGUACACACCGCCCGUCGCACCUACCGAUUGAAUGGUCCGGUGAAAUCUCCGGACUGGCGUGGGUCGGAGCAAUCUGACAAACACCGGAAAGUUGAUUAAACCUUACCAUUUAGAGGAAGGUGAAGUCGUAACA
rnacentral:rRNA from 1 species